rnacentral:rRNA from 1 species
GGGUUGUGAGGUUAAGCGACUAAGCGUACACGGUGGAUGCCCUGGCAGUCAGAGGCGAUGAAGGACGUGCUAAUCUGCGAUAAGCGUCGGUAAGGUGAUAUGAACCGUUAUAACCGGCGAUUUCCGAAUGGGGAAACCCAGUGUGAUUCGUCACACUAUCAUUAACUGAAUCCAUAGGUUAAUGAGGCGAACCGGGGGAACUGAAACAUCUAAGUACCCCGAGGAAAAGAAAUCAACCGAGAUUCCCCCAGUAGCGGCGAGCGAACGGGGAGCAGCCCAGAGCCUGAAUCAGUGUGUGUGUUAGUGGAAGCGUCUGGAAAGGCGCGCGAUACAGGGUGACAGCCCCGUACACAAAAAUGCACAUGCUGUGAGCUCGAUGAGUAGGGCGGGACACGUGGUAUCCUGUCUGAAUAUGGGGGGACCAUCCUCCAAGGCUAAAUACUCCUGACUGACCGAUAGUGAACCAGUACCGUGAGGGAAAGGCGAAAAGAACCCCGGCGAGGGGAGUGAAAAAGAACCUGAAACCGUGUACGUACAAGCAGUGGGAGCACGCUUAGGCGUGUGACUGCGUACCUUUUGUAUAAUGGGUCAGCGACUUAUAUUCUGUAGCAAGGUUAACCGAAUAGGGGAGCCGAAGGGAAACCGAGUCUUAACUGGGCGUUAAGUUGCAGGGUAUAGACCCGAAACCCGGUGAUCUAGCCAUGGGCAGGUUGAAGGUUGGGUAACACUAACUGGAGGACCGAACCGACUAAUGUUGAAAAAUUAGCGGAUGACUUGUGGCUGGGGGUGAAAGGCCAAUCAAACCGGGAGAUAGCUGGUUCUCCCCGAAAGCUAUUUAGGUAGCGCCUCGUGAAUUCAUCUCCGGGGGUAGAGCACUGUUUCGGCAAGGGGGUCAUCCCGACUUACCAACCCGAUGCAAACUGCGAAUACCGGAGAAUGUUAUCACGGGAGACACACGGCGGGUGCUAACGUCCGUCGUGAAGAGGGAAACAACCCAGACCGCCAGCUAAGGUCCCAAAGUCAUGGUUAAGUGGGAAACGAUGUGGGAAGGCCCAGACAGCCAGGAUGUUGGCUUAGAAGCAGCCAUCAUUUAAAGAAAGCGUAAUAGCUCACUGGUCGAGUCGGCCUGCGCGGAAGAUGUAACGGGGCUAAACCAUGCACCGAAGCUGCGGCAGCGACGCUUAUGCGUUGUUGGGUAGGGGAGCGUUCUGUAAGCCUGUGAAGGUGUACUGUGAGGUAUGCUGGAGGUAUCAGAAGUGCGAAUGCUGACAUAAGUAACGAUAAAGCGGGUGAAAAGCCCGCUCGCCGGAAGACCAAGGGUUCCUGUCCAACGUUAAUCGGGGCAGGGUGAGUCGACCCCUAAGGCGAGGCCGAAAGGCGUAGUCGAUGGGAAACAGGUUAAUAUUCCUGUACUUGGUGUUACUGCGAAGGGGGGACGGAGAAGGCUAUGUUGGCCGGGCGACGGUUGUCCCGGUUUAAGCGUGUAGGCUGGUUUUCCAGGCAAAUCCGGAAAAUCAAGGCUGAGGCGUGAUGACGAGGCACUACGGUGCUGAAGCAACAAAUGCCCUGCUUCCAGGAAAAGCCUCUAAGCAUCAGGUAACAUCAAAUCGUACCCCAAACCGACACAGGUGGUCAGGUAGAGAAUACCAAGGCGCUUGAGAGAACUCGGGUGAAGGAACUAGGCAAAAUGGUGCCGUAACUUCGGGAGAAGGCACGCUGAUAUGUAGGUGAAGCGACUUGCUCGUGGAGCUGAAAUCAGUCGAAGAUACCAGCUGGCUGCAACUGUUUAUUAAAAACACAGCACUGUGCAAACACGAAAGUGGACGUAUACGGUGUGACGCCUGCCCGGUGCCGGAAGGUUAAUUGAUGGGGUUAGCGCAAGCGAAGCUCUUGAUCGAAGCCCCGGUAAACGGCGGCCGUAACUAUAACGGUCCUAAGGUAGCGAAAUUCCUUGUCGGGUAAGUUCCGACCUGCACGAAUGGCGUAAUGAUGGCCAGGCUGUCUCCACCCGAGACUCAGUGAAAUUGAACUCGCUGUGAAGAUGCAGUGUACCCGCGGCAAGACGGAAAGACCCCGUGAACCUUUACUAUAGCUUGACACUGAACAUUGAGCCUUGAUGUGUAGGAUAGGUGGGAGGCUUUGAAGUGUGGACGCCAGUCUGCAUGGAGCCGACCUUGAAAUACCACCCUUUAAUGUUUGAUGUUCUAACGUGGACCCGUAAUCCGGGUUGCGGACAGUGUCUGGUGGGUAGUUUGACUGGGGCGGUCUCCUCCUAAAGAGUAACGGAGGAGCACGAAGGUUGGCUAAUCCUGGUCGGACAUCAGGAGGUUAGUGCAAUGGCAUAAGCCAGCUUGACUGCGAGCGUGACGGCGCGAGCAGGUGCGAAAGCAGGUCAUAGUGAUCCGGUGGUUCUGAAUGGAAGGGCCAUCGCUCAACGGAUAAAAGGUACUCCGGGGAUAACAGGCUGAUACCGCCCAAGAGUUCAUAUCGACGGCGGUGUUUGGCACCUCGAUGUCGGCUCAUCACAUCCUGGGGCUGAAGUAGGUCCCAAGGGUAUGGCUGUUCGCCAUUUAAAGUGGUACGCGAGCUGGGUUUAGAACGUCGUGAGACAGUUCGGUCCCUAUCUGCCGUGGGCGCUGGAGAAUUGAGGGGGGCUGCUCCUAGUACGAGAGGACCGGAGUGGACGCAUCACUGGUGUUCGGGUUGUCAUGCCAAUGGCACUGCCCGGUAGCUAAAUGCGGAAGAGAUAAGUGCUGAAAGCAUCUAAGCACGAAACUUGCCCCGAGAUGAGUUCUCCCUGACUCCUUGAGAGUCCUGAAGGAACGUUGAAGACGACGACGUUGAUAGGCCGGGUGUGUAAGCGCAGCGAUGCGUUGAGCUAACCGGUACUAAUGAACCGUGAGGCUUAACCUUACAACGCCGAAG